CCUACGGUGUGCAGCAGUGAGGAAUAUUGGUCAAUGGACGGAAGUCUGAACCAGCCAUGCCGCGUGCAGGAAGACGGCUCUAUGAGUUGUAAACUGCUUUUGUACAAGGGUAAACCUGAAUACGUGUAUUCAGCUGACAGUACUGUACGAAUAAGGCUCGGCUAACUCCGUGCCAGCAGCCGCGGUAAUACGGAGGAUCCAAGCGUUAUCCGGAUUUAGUGGGUUUAAAGGGUGCGUAGUCGGAUUGAUAAGUUAGAGGUGAAAUGUCCGAGUUUAACUCGGGAACUGCCUCUAAUACUGUCGAGCUAGAGAGUAGGUGCGGUAGGCGGAAUGUAUGGUGUAGCGGUGAAAUGCUUAGAGAUCAUAAAGAACACCGAUUGCGAAGGCAGCUUACCAAGCUAUAUCUGACGUUGAGGCACGAAAGCGUGGGGAGCAAACAGGAUGAGAUACCCGGGUAGUC
rnacentral:rRNA from 1 species